GGGGAGAGGUAGAUUUGAGAGAGAGUGGAGGUAGAUUUGAGAGAGAGUGGAGGUAGAUUUGAGAGAGAGUGGAGGUAGAUUUGAGAGAGAGUGGAGGUAGAUUUGAGAGAGAGUGGAGGUAGAUUUGAGAGAGAGUGGAGGUAGAUUUGAGAGAGAGUGGAGGUAGAUUUGAGAGAGAGUGGAGGUAGAUUUGAGAGAGAGUGGAGGUAGAUUUGAGAGAGAGUGGAGGUAGAUUUGAGAGAGAGUGGAGGUAGAUUUGAGAGAGAGUGGAGGUAGAUUUGAGAGAGAGUGGAGGUAGAUUUGAGAGAGAGUGGAGGUAGAUUUGAGAGAGAGUGGAGGUAGAUUUGAGAGAGAGAGGAGGUAGAUUUGAGAGAGA